AGUGUCCGUCCGCCGGAGCUUUUCCCGUUAGUACGCUCCCGUAAUAAAUUCCGCGAUAAACAGGAAAAAACAGAGAGUGAGAGAAGGCAACGUGUUUUUCGGUUUCGGUUUUGGUUUUAAUUUCAAUUUCGUUUGCCGCGCAGGUUGCAAUUUUCUUUUCUGUUUUCGUCAAUAUUUUUUUUAUGUGCGAAUCUUCACUGCAACUUUUAGUAAAACAAAAAACAUUCGGGUGUCACCUGUUGUGAGAAACAGCGGUAGAGAGAAUCGGCGAAAGAGAGGGAGAAAGGUAAAAACGAAAAAGAGAAAACUGCUGAUCAAACUGUAAAUCGCGCAAUGAUCUUCCCAGAAUUUGCGAGGCGGGAAAAAACAAACAAAUAUAAUAAACAGAACUAAUAAACAAAAAUAGGUACCAAAAACAAAACGUUUUGUUUCGCCAAUUAAUUAAAUACUUCUCGCAAAAACUUCGACCUUAACUUUAAACUCAAUGUAGCGCUGAGUCGUCGAGUCGUUACGAGUCGAGGGUUUUGGAUAAAAGGGAACCUACGGCCUGGAAUUCGUGGCAGAAGUGCAGCAAGUGCAGCCGAGCCAAGUUCAAUUAGCCGGAAACAGAAACUUAAGCGGACCAUGUGAUCUACAAUAAAUGCAAUUGUAUAUAUCCGUUUGGAACGUGUGGUUAAUAUGUCUGGAAAUUAACGAGAGAAAGUGCGAGAGAGUCGUGUGGGACAGAUCUAGAUCUGGAUCAAGAUAUACUAAUAUAUAUCGCAUGUGCAAGCCAACGGAAACGGAAGUGUUAGCGGUAACGGAAACGGCAACGGAAACGGAAACGGAAACAGCAACGGAAGCGGAAACGGAAGUGGCUAAGGUAACGUCACCAGAGCAAUAAUGACUAAGAAGUACGAGUUCGAUUGGAUCAUCCCGGUUCCGCCGGAAUUAACCACGGGCUGUGUGUUCGAUCGCUGGUUCGAGAACGAGAAGGAAACUAAGGAGAACGACUUUGAGCGCGAUGCCCUCUUCAAGGUCGACGAGUACGGCUUCUUUUUGUACUGGAAGAGCGAGGGCCGGGAUGGCGAUGUCAUUGAGCUGUGUCAAGUGAGCGACAUCCGUGCGGGGGGAACGCCAAAGGAUCCGAAGAUACUUGAUAAGGUGACGAAGAAGAAUGGAACCAAUAUACCGGAACUGGAUAAGCGAUCCCUGACGAUCUGCUCGAAUACGGACUAUAUCAAUAUAACAUAUCACCAUGUUAUUUGUCCAGAUGCGGCAACCGCUAAGAGCUGGCAGAAGAACUUGCGUCUCAUCACGCAUAACAAUCGCGCCACGAAUGUGUGUCCGCGCGUCAACCUGAUGAAGCAUUGGAUGCGAUUGAGUUACUGCGUGGAAAAGAGCGGAAAAAUUCCAGUGAAAACUCUGGCAAAGACCUUCGCCUCCGGCAAAACGGAGAAGCUGGUGUACACGUGCAUCAAGGAUGCUGGUUUGCCGGAUGACAAGAACGCCACGAUGACCAAGGAGCAGUUCACCUUCGACAAGUUUUACGCCUUGUACCACAAGGUCUGUCCCCGUAACGAUAUCGAGGAGCUGUUCACCUCCAUUACCAAGGGCAAGCAGGAUUUCAUCAGUCUGGAACAGUUUAUUCAGUUCAUGAACGACAAACAGCGUGAUCCCCGAAUGAACGAGAUCCUGUAUCCUCUCUACGAGGAAAAACGCUGCACGGAGAUCAUCAACGAUUACGAACUGGAGGAGGAAAAAAAGAAGAAUGUUCAACUAUCGCUGGAUGGAUUUAAGCGCUAUCUGAUGUCUGACGAGAAUGCUCCGGUGUUUUUGGAUCGACUUGAUUUCUACAUGGAGAUGGAUCAGCCACUGGCCCAUUACUAUAUAAACAGCUCUCAUAAUACCUAUCUGUCGGGUCGCCAAAUCGGCGGAAAGAGUUCCGUGGAGAUGUACCGUCAGACUCUUUUGGCAGGAUGCCGCUGUGUGGAGUUGGACUGUUGGAAUGGAAAGGGGGAGGAUGAGGAGCCGAUCGUCACCCACGGCCACGCCUACUGCACGGAAAUUCUCUUCAAGGACUGCAUCCAGGCGAUUGCGGACUGCGCCUUUGUAUCCUCGGAGUACCCGGUCAUCCUAUCCUUCGAGAACCACUGCAAUCGUGCCCAGCAAUACAAGUUGGCCAAAUACUGUGAUGACUUCUUCGGCGACCUGCUGCUGAAGGAGCCGCUCUCGGAUCACCCGCUGGAUCCGGGACUACCGCUACCGCCGCCCUGCAAGCUGAAGCGCAAGAUCCUCAUCAAGAACAAGCGAAUGAAGCCCGAGGUGGAGAAGGUCGAGCUGGAGCUGUGGCUCAAGGGCGAGCUGAAGACGGACGACGAUCCCGAGGAGGACGCCAGUGCGGGCAAGCCGCCGGAGGCCGCCGCCGCUCCAGCUCCCGCCCCGGAAGCAGCCGCCGCCGCAGAGGGGGCCGCCGAGGGGGGCGGGGGAGCGGAGGCCGAGGCAGCCGCCGCCAACUACAGCGGCUCCACCACCAACGUGCACCCUUGGCUCUCAUCCAUGGUCAAUUACGCCCAGCCCAUCAAGUUCCAGGGCUUCGACAAGGCAAUCGAAAAGAACAUUGCCCACAACAUGUCCUCGUUCGCGGAAUCGGCGGGCAUGAACUACCUGAAGCAGAGCUCCAUCGACUUUGUCAAUUACAACAAGCGCCAGAUGUCGCGAAUUUAUCCGAAGGGCACGCGGGCGGACUCCUCGAACUAUAUGCCGCAGGUGUUUUGGAAUGCCGGCUGUCAGAUGGUCUCGCUGAAUUUCCAGAGCUCCGAUCUGCCGAUGCAACUGAAUCAGGGCAAGUUCGAGUACAACGGCGGCUGUGGCUAUCUAUUGAAGCCCGAUUUUAUGCGACGAGCGGACAAGGAUUUCGAUCCGUUUGCCGAUGCGCCAGUGGAUGGUGUGAUUGCGGCCCAGUGUUCCGUCAAGGUGAUAGCCGGUCAGUUCUUGUCCGAUAAGAAAGUGGGCACCUAUGUGGAGGUGGACAUGUUCGGACUGCCCUCCGAUACGGUGAAGAAGGAGUUUCGCACCCGUUUGGUGGCCAACAAUGGUCUGAAUCCGGUGUACAACGAGGACGCCUUCGUGUUCCGCAAAGUGGUGUUGCCCGAUUUGGCUGUGCUGCGUUUUGGCGUUUAUGAGGAGAGCGGAAAGAUCCUGGGACAGCGUAUCCUGCCGCUGGACGGCCUGCAGGCUGGCUAUCGCCAUGUCUCACUGCGCACAGAGGCCAACUUCCCCAUGUCUCUGCCCAUGUUGUUUGUGAAUAUCGAGCUAAAGAUCUAUGUACCUGACGGUUUUGAGGAUUUCAUGGCCAUGCUGUCGGAUCCGCGUGGAUUCGCCGGGGCGGCCAAGCAGCAGAACGAGCAAAUGAAGGCGCUGGGCAUCGAGGAGCAGAGCGGCGGUGCCGCCCGAGAUGCCGGCAAGGCCAAGGAGGAGGAGAAGAAGGAGCCACCGUUGGUGUUUGAGCCCGUCACCCUCGAAUCGCUGCGGCAGGAGAAGGGCUUCCAGAAGGUGGGCAAGAAGCAGAUCAAAGAGCUGGACACGCUGCGCAAGAAGCACGCCAAGGAGCGCACCUCCGUGCAGAAGACCCAGAACGCGGCCAUCGACAAACUGAUCAAGGGCAAGAGCAAAGACGACAUUCGCAACGAUGCCAACAUCAAGAACUCGAUCAACGACCAGACCAAGCAGUGGACCGACAUGAUCGCCCGCCAUCGCAAGGAGGAGUGGGACAUGCUGCGCCAGCAUGUCCAGGACUCGCAGGACGCCAUGAAGGCGCUGAUGCUCACCGUUCAGGCGGCGCAGAUCAAGCAGCUGGAGGAUCGGCAUGCCAGGGACAUCAAGGAUCUGAAUGCCAAGCAGGCAAAGAUGUCGGCGGAUACCGCCAAGGAGGUGCAGAACGACAAGACGCUGAAGACCAAGAACGAAAAGGAUCGUAGGCUGCGUGAAAAGCGCCAGAACAAUGUGAAGCGCUUUAUGGAGGAGAAGAAGCAAAUCGGCGUUAAGCAGGGUCGUGCCAUGGAAAAACUGAAGCUGGCGCACUCCAAGCAGGUCGAGGAAUUCAGUACCGACGUGCAAAAGGUACUGAACGAAACUCGGCCGCAGACCGACACUAUAACCAGUAUUGAGACUGUACUUUAGACAACCACACCUGUAUAGCUAGAGAGCGAUAAACCGUAAACGAUAAACGACAAACGAUAUAACCGAUAACUGAAACGUGAAAUGAAACAAAAGCAAACAAGAAAAAAUAUAACCAAUACUGAAACCACAGUGAAGAUAUGCAUCCCAGAUACGAUCGUUGUUGCUGUAUCCCAUUCUUAUCGCUAGAGAAAGAGAGAGAGAGUAAGAGAGAUAGAGAGUAUCGACUGGGGAUGCAUCUUCCGAUAAUCGAUAAACAAUAACCGAUCACGAACAAAAAACCCAACCUAAACGAACCCAUCCGUACUAACCUGAAAAGUAAUCGAUCAGUCAGUAGCUGCUAAUCUUUCACACUAACUGCUAAGAUCUAAUGGACAUGUACAAAAUCGAGGAGGAGGCCUAUAAGACGCAAGGAAAAACGGAGUUUUAUGCCUAAGAUCAUACCAGGUCAAAGGUGAAAAAAAGGAGAGCACUGCGAUACCAAAACUAAAAACUAAAAAAAUGUUGAAAAACACUAUGAAAGAAUGCUGCUGAUCAAGAUGAAGAUGCUAACAUAUAUACUUCUUUGUAUACUGUAUUUACACACUCAUGCAAAACACACACACACACACACACACUCGCCUACAUCUAGAAAGGAUUAACUUUACUUACAUAUUUAAAUGUGUGCUCUAUGCAAGAAGCAUAAGCAUAGUAUACUUAUCAACUAGAAUUCAAAACUGGAAAGUCAACACUGUGCUUUAUAUUUAUUUAAGAUUCUUAAUGAAGAAGGAAAAGAUAAAUGAAGAGGCCACACAUAAGUGUGUCGUUUACGGGGAAUUCCCCCCCCACUCGAAUCCAUUGUAAUUUAUUUUGAAAUACCAGAAACAAAAAACUAAAGAAAAAAAAAUGAAUACCAAAAAUCUUGAAUGGUAUUUUGUGCUAAUAACACGAUAACAACAGUACACCGAUAAGUUUAGACCACAUACAGUGCGUUUCAGGGUUAUGGGAACUACUUUGUACUCCCCUAAGCGGUGGAACACACUGUACUCAUGCAUAUACACACAACACCACACAUACACACCCCUACUCCCAAAAUAAUCGUACGUUUCAAGUGAACUACUUACAUGAGUUUCCGAUUCUCCACCUAAUAGCUUAGCCAACUAACUAACUUAACCAGUAAGCCGAAACCCAUUAACCAGCAAAGCAAUCCAAGGAGCCCACAAUUAACACCCAAAAAUCAGUCAGAUCUAUGUAUUUCAUGAUAUAUAAACAUAGAAGUUGUAGAACUUUUUUUUUUCAAAAGCAUUUAUUUUGCAAAUACCUAACGGAAAAUAAACCCUCAACUGCUCGAAAAAAGAAUACUAUUAAUAAAAAAAAAAAAAAACCUAAAACAACAGCACUCACAGUCAUGAACGAUGAAACGAUGCAGAAUAGUUUGUAAAGUAAAUGUUAUAAAACCUAAGUAUUAAAUGUGUAAUUCAAACAAUGAAACACCCCUACCGGCAGUUAUAUAUACAAUACACACACCACACAUCAUUUUGGGCGGAGAACGCCAAAUCGAAAAUGGUUUAACUAACUUUACAUGAAAUGUGAAAUUUUAUCCGCUCCGUAUUAGUUUGAUCUAAUUUGUAAUUUUUAACCAAAAACGAGAUAAAGAUUUUGCGAAUUUUACAACCAGAAAAAGUAGCCAAAAAAAAAUAUAUACAUAUAUACACACAAAACAAAAACAUGAAAACAUGCAUAGAUCUAGUGAAUAUAUUAUACCAAAGUAAAUGAAACAAACAUGAACUUAAGAUAGAUUCUGUUUGAGUUUUCAAGACCGUUUAUGUUGCACUCAAAAUUUGCUGUUUGCAUGUAAUGUAGUUGUUGCAAAAAUACCAAAAAAAAAAAAAAAAAGAACUAU